rnacentral:lncRNA from 1 species
UAAAUUUGCUCUCAGUUCAGGCUGCAAUGCUGGGUCCCGCCCCUUCUUCCGGCUGGGUUCCACUACCUGCAAGGCUGGAACUGACAGCCACUGUGCAAACAAAAAAAGGCAACAAGCAUGCUGGGACCAUUCUGUCUGCUGUUUGGGUCUCACUUGUCCUGACAACUAAAAAUCAUCAGUGGAAAGAAGCUGGAGUCAUCCUAACAAGAGUGAUAGUCUUUCCCCAAGUGAGACCAGGCUGUGCUAUCUGGGGAAAAGCAUCGCUGGCCUUGCCGAGAUGCACCGACGACUCAGCUCACCUAAGGACUUAACCAGUACAGGACUUGCUGCAGCGGAGCCUGAGCUGGAUAUGGAAAGCAAAAGAAGCAAGAUCUCCCUAUGUUGCCAAGGUUGGUCUGGAACUCCUGAGCUCAAGUGAUCCUCCUGCCUCAGCCUCCUAAAGUGUUAGAAUUAUUGAUGUGAGCCACUGCAUGUGGUCAAUUCUGUCAUUCUUGACAACAAGGAUGAAGCUGGGAGAUACUGUGCUGAGUAGAAUAAACCAAGCACAAAAAGACAAAUGCCUCAUGAGCUCACUUAUAUGUAGAAUCUGUAACAGUUGAACUCAUCAGAGAGCAGAAUAAUGGUUACCAGGGACUAGCAGUAGGCUGGAGGGAGAGGUGGGGAGGUGUCGGUGAAAUAAUAUAAAAUUUCAGUUAGAAAAAAUAAGAUUUAAGAGAUCUAUUGCACAACAUGGUGACUAUAGUUAAUAACACUGUAUUGUAUUCUUGAAAAUCACUAAGAUUUGAAUAUUCUCACCACAAAAAAUAAGCAUAUGAGGUAAUGCAUAUGUUAAUGGCUCAAUUUAGCCAUUUCCAAUGAUUAAAUAUUUGAAAGCAGUUAUAUACCAUAAAUGUGUACCUUUUUUAAUUAAAAAAAUUAUUUUUUAGUAGGAUGCUCUGAAAUUGGAACUGAAUAUUACUUAAACCUUGAAGUCUGGGAACAGGGACAUAGUGCUUUUCCAAAACUGCCAGAAAGGUGUCUCUUAAUGCUCUAUGGAUAGAAGUGGCCACCUGUCUUACAGGCUGACGCUGGAGCCCAGCAAAAGUUAUUUUGGUAGACCCUUAUGGUUUAGCAAUGCAAAAAGAGAACCUACUUACUUUCUUUGUAUUAACUCUGGAUACUGAUAAACUAAAUAAAAAUACCUUGGCCAGG